CCUACGGGAGGCAGCAGUAGGGAAUAUUGCUCAAUGGGGGAAACCCUGAAGCAGCAACGCCGCGUGGAGGAUGAAGGUUUUAGGAUUGUAAACCCCUUUUGUUAGAGAAGAAUAUGACGGUAUCUAACGAAUAAGCACCGGCUAAUUCCGUCCCAGCAGCCGCGGUAAUACGGAGGGUGCAAGCGUUACGCGGAAUCACUGGGCGUAAAGGGUGCGUAGGCGGGGUAAUAAGUCGGAUGGGAAAGCCUGUGGCUUAACCACAGAACUGCAUUUGAAACUGGGACUCGGGAGUGUGGGAGAGGAAAGUGGAAUUCUAGGUGUAGGGGUGAAAUCCGUAGAGAUCAAGAGGAAUACUCGUGGCGAAGGCGACCUGCUGGAACAUAACUGACGCUGAGGCACGAAAGCGUGGGGAGUAAACAGGAUUAGAUACCCGGGUAGUC
rnacentral:rRNA from 1 species